rnacentral:rRNA from 1 species
GACGAACGCUGGCGGCGUGCCUAACACAUGCAAGUGGAGCGACGAACCAGGCCUCGGCCUGGGGCAAGGCCGCGAACGGGUGAGUAACACGUGGGUAACCUGCCCUGAUGAUUGGGACAACCCGAGGAAACUCGGGCUAAUACCGAAUGUGCCCUCCGGCCUCAAGGCCGCUGGGGAAAGGAAGCUUCGGCCUCCGCAUCGGGAUGGGCCCGCGGCCCAUUAGCUUGUUGGUGAGGUAACGGCNCACCAAGGCGACGAUGGGUAGCUGGUCUGAGAGGACGAUCAGCCACACUGGGACUGAGACACGGCCAGACUCCUACGGGAGGCAGCAGUGGGGAAUCUUGCGCAAUGCGCGAAAGCGUGACGCAGCAACGCCGCGU